rnacentral:rRNA from 1 species
UACGGAGGGGGCUAGCGUUGUUCGGAAUUACUGGGCGUAAAGCGCACGUAGGCGGCUGUUCAAGUCAGAGGUGAAAGCCUGGAGCUCAACUCCAGAACUGCCUUUGAAACUAGACAGCUAGAAUCAUGGAGAGGUGAGUGGAAUUCCGAGUGUAGAGGUGAAAUUCGUAGAUAUUCGGAAGAACACCAGUGGCGAAGGCGGCUCACUGGCCCGGUACUGACGCUGAGGUGCGAAAGCGUGGGGAGCAAACAGG